AAUAGAUACCCGGGUAGUCCACGCCGUAAACGAUGAGUGCUAAGUGUUAGAGGGUUUCCGCCCUUUAGUGCUGCAGCUAACGCAUUAAGCACUCCGCCUGGGGAGUACGGCCGCAAGGCUGAAACUCAAAGGAAUUGACGGGGGCCCGCACAAGCGGUGGAGCAUGUGGUUUAAUUCAAAGCAACGCGAAGAACCUUACCAGGUCUUGACAUCCUCUGCCAACCCUAGAGAUAGGGCGUUCCCCUUCGGGGGACAGAGUGACAGGUGGUGCAUGGUUGUCGUCAGCUCGUGUCGUGAGAUGUUGGGUUAAGUCCCGCAACGAGCGCAACCCUUGAUCUUAGUUGCCAGCAUUCAGUUGGGCACUCUAAGGUGACUGCCGGUGACAAACCGGAGGAAGGUGGGGAUGACGUCAAAUCAUCAUGCCCCUUAUGACCUGGGCUACACACGUGCUACAAUGGAUGGUACAAAGAGCUGCGAACCCGCGAGGGUAAGCGAAUCUCAUAAAGCCAUUCUCAGUUCGGA
rnacentral:rRNA from 1 species